rnacentral:rRNA from 1 species
UUCCUUUUCUGAAUUGACCGGACAUUUCACUGCGGGAAAAAUUAACGGUUUUUCUUCAUGGAGCUCCAAAUAUGUAACCAUGAUGAAAAUAGAGUGUUUUAGCUGUCCUGUUUUUCGUCUGAACCUUCAUUGAGGGAUGACGAAACAGGGUCGCCUAUCUUAUUUCGUCGGUUUCCCGGAAGGAGGCAAUGAUGUGAAGGGACGGUCGGGGGCAUUCGUACUUAGUUGUCAGAGGUGAAAUUCUUGGAUUUACGAAAGACGACCUCAUGCGAAAGCAUUUGCCAAGGACGUAUUCGCUGAUCAAGAACGAAAGUCAGGGGAUCGAAGACGAUCAGAUACCGUCGUAGUCUUGACCGUAAACGGUGCCGACCAGGGAUCGGGAGAAGUCGCAUGGAUGACUCCCCCGGCACCUCGAGAGAAAUCGAGAGUUUUCGGGUUCUGGGGGGAGUAUGGUCGCAAGGCUGAAACUUAAAGGAAUUGACGGAAGGGCACCCCCAGGAGUGGAGCCUGCGGCUUCAUUUGACUCAACACGGGAAAUCUCCCCAGGUCCAGACUAUUAAAGGAUAGUCAUUAAGAGAGCUCACCAUCGAUAUAUAAGGAUCAGUCACAUGUCCGUUUCCCGUGGUUGGAUAGAUAAGUUCGGUUAAGUCCGUUAACGAACGAGCCCUCGGCUUUUUAAAUAGUUGGAAGAACUCCCAAUAAAAGGGCCUUAGUAGUUAAAAAAGUAGG